GUUUGUGCUGAAGGCCUGUUGCCUAGAGUGCAGAUGGAGGACUCGGUGCCUUACCUGAGCCUAGGGGAACGUCCCUGGACCGCAGGCAGAGAGUGCCACAUGUGCACACACGCAGACCUCCCUACGUCUCACUGUCAAUCAGCCAAGAAGCAAGCAGAAUUACAGAAGCCAGGGGCAUGGUCAUAGUGGUGCAGACAAAAGGGGGGUCUAUUUGCUUUUGACUUGCCUUCUCAGUGGUAAGGUGAAAUUUACAAGAAGGCCUAAUUUUAAAACAUG
ensembl:misc_RNA RNase_MRP RNase MRP